UCGAGUCAAAAGAUCCAACGAGUCAAAAGAUCCAGUGUUGGACCUUUCGACUCGUUGGAUCUUUUGACUCGUUGGAUCUCUUGACCA
rnacentral:pre_miRNA from 1 species